rnacentral:rRNA from 1 species
GACGAACGCUGGCGGCGUGCCUAACACAUGCAAGUCGAGCGAAUGAAGUUCCUUCGGGAAUGGAUUUAGCGGCGGACGGGUGAGUAACACGUGGGCAACCUGCCUCAUAGAGGGGAAUAGCCUUCCGAAAGGGAGAUUAAUACCGCAUAAGAUUGUAGUACCGCAUGGUACAGAAAUUGAAGGAGCAAUCCGCUAUGAGAUGGGCCCGCGGCGCAUUAGCUAGUUGGUGAGGUAACGGCUCACCAAGGCGACGAUGCGUAGCCGACCUGAGAGGGUGAUCGGCCACAUUGGGACUGAGACACGGCCCAGACUCCUACGGGAGGCAGCAGUGGGGAAUAUUGCACAAUGGGGGAAACCCUGAUGCAGCAACGCCGCGUGAGUGAUGACGGCCUUCGGGUUGUAAAGCUCUGUCUUCAGGGACGAUAAUGACGGUACCUGAGGAGGAAGCCACGGCUAACUACGUGCCAGCAGCCGCAGUAACAC